UGUUUUUUAUGUAUUUAAAUAAAAUUCAUUUUAUAUAUGUAUUUUUUAUGCUAUAUUUUAUAUGAUCUCAUCAUCAUUGUCAUCAUCCCCCACCUUUAUUUUCCUUUAUUCUAUAUAUUUAUUCAACCUUAAUUAUAUUUCUUUAUAAUUUCUUUAUUUUUAAUUUGACGUUGAGUAAAACAAUUACUUCACUAAGUUUUAAUUAUUAUUUGUUGACUAAAGUAUACACUUAUUAGCUUCAUUAAUGUUUAGUCUUAAAAUUAUUUUUACUGAACAUCGUAAUAUCUUAAGAUAUUAUUUUGUAUUUCAUGUAUACUUUUUAAUGUAUACUUUAAGGUGUUUAUAAUAUACCAUAAAAAUUUCUAUAAACUAUAUUUUAACAUUAGACUUAUAUGUUUAGAGUACAGAAGUAACCUGAUGAAAAUUAUGAUAGUGACUCACAAGAUUUUAAUGAACAUCAAGAAUUAAAAAAGUCUUGUCUGCAGACACCUGUCUCUGUAUUAAACAAAAGUAAACAAGAUUAGAAAAAGUGAUCAUAAUUACCUCUGUGAUUAAGGUGAAGGGAGUAGCAGCAAAAAGGGAAGUAGCAAAAAAAAUUGAAAUGGACAGGGCAAGGUGAUCUUCAAAAAAAGUCUUUCUGAAUUCUUAAAUUUCGUCAAGUUAUUGAAAAAGCAAUAAGAAGAAAUUUACUGACAAAAAAUACUACAUACAGCGAAAUUGAAAAGGCAAUUGUGGCUUUUUUUUCUGGAGCUCUAGACAAAAAUAAAGGCAGAAAAGAAUGAGCAGAGAAAAAGUCGAUCCAAAAAACCAGUUCAACAAAAAACCGUAGCUAUAUUGCCCCACCAUUGAACUUGAAACCUUUAUCUGGAUUAUCAUCACCACGAUUUGAACGCUUUAUUUUUGAUGAAUCUGACAAAGUAUAAUGUUCUCAAAGUCUUGCAUGAUCUGUUUUAUAUGUUAUAUUUUAUAUUAAUUGUAUAUUUGACAUUAUUAUAAGCUUUACAAGUAUUUAUGUUAUU